CCCAUCGCCCACACAGUAGGUUUCACCCAAGGAACUCGAUUGCACUUCCAGCAAUGGUUUUCGACUGCACUUUCCCCCAAUAAUCAAGAUCCCUUCCACACCAGAGUUUAUCUAUUUAACUUUCAUGCUGGAAGUCGGUGAAAUUUCUGCCUUAGAUGUUACAAGGCCACCAGCUGAUUCCUGUAUAAUUCUUAUCUUUACAGCAGUACUAUCUUGCAGAUUCUUAAAAAUAGUACGUUCUUACAUCUUGAGUUCAUGGAAUUUUGUUGGGGUACAUCUACUUCUUUUGUUGAGGAGCCUCAUUUGGCCUUGACGAAUAUGACAAAUCCAAAGCUAAAAUUUCGGCUUUCUGGCUAUUUUUGAUGUUUCAAUGCUAUAUAUCGCCCACAGAAACUGAGCAUGAGCCAUUAAAUAGUAGAACAUAAGAAGACUACCUUGUUAAUUUCCUUUGAGGAGAACAGAAAAUGAUUUAUUUUCUGCAAUUGGUAGUUCCUCUUGUUUUGUUUAUCAUUUUUCUUUUCAACCUGCUAGUAUACAUUUUACUUCUUCAGGUUUGGAGUUACUGGUCAUCGACUUUGGUGAGUCGAUGGUUCAAUGUUGCCUAGAUGUUGGCCUCAAUGAUGAAGUAGACCUUCGAAUUUCAAUGAAUGUGACGAUAUGCAAGGCAGAAGGCAGCCGAAAGUGGAAUGCAUAGAGGAAGGGUUCCACUUGAUUAGUUAUGAUAUGAACUUUUGUUUAUGUAGGAUUAUGAUG
rnacentral:lncRNA from 1 species